AUUCAGUUGACGAGUUCCAAAUAGGACGAAACGCGGGUCAAACUGGAU
rnacentral:hammerhead_ribozyme from 1 species